rnacentral:lncRNA from 1 species
CUCAGACCACACUCAGACCAGACUCAGACCAGGCAGUGUCACUCUAUUUCUAUUUUGCCUAAGACUCCACAAUUAUUGACCAGCAGUACAACAGUACAAUAUGGUGAUGGGCAACUAUAUAAAAUGAAGACACAAGACCAAGCUGAAUUCAAUUAAAUCUAAGAACUUUGUUUGCUGUUUGUCAAUGAAAUCUGCCGAGAGAAAGACCAUCACACAUUGAUACUAUUGAAGGGAUUAGAAGUGGUACAUGUAUGAAGAUGAUAUGGAGAAGAUGAUCACAGGGAACUGGUGCAUAGAAUUUCCAUCCACAGUGAUUGCAGCUUUGGUCACCCCAUUCUUCGCAGACCCGUUCGAAAGAACCCCCCUUUUUGCUGGGAAAAGGACCCCUCUGGGUAAAAUUUUUUCUAGGUACUCGUGUAGGUCUCAUGGUAAAAGAUCCUGUUUUUCAGAAAAAGAAACACCCUUUUUGAAAAUUUUGGCUACAGGCCUGCUUCAGUACUGUUAUUAAGGGUGCUCUGAAUGCUAAAACCACCACUAUGCUGUAAACAAGUGCAUUACCUACACAACUUGUCAAGGAUUUGAGGAAAAACAGUUAAGAGUAUCAUGGUCACUGUACUAC